GCAAGUCGAACGGAAACGAUGGUAGCUUGCUACCAGGCGUCGAGUGGCGGACGGGUGAGUAAUACUUAGGAAUCUGCCCAGUAGCGGGGGAUAACUCGAGGGAACUCGAGCUAAUACCGCAUACGCCCUACGGGGGAAAGCAGGGGAUCUUCGGACCUUGCACUAUUGGAUGAGCCUAAGCGAGAUUAGCUUGUUGGUGAGGUAAAAGCUCACCAAGGCGACGAUCUCUAGCUGGUCUGAGAGGACGAUC
rnacentral:rRNA from 1 species